UGGAAUGUUGUUGGUCCUUCUUUUCUUGACGCGUGGAAUGAGCCAUGGAUUCCUUCUUUGCCAUCUUUUAAAAAUACAAAGUACAAGGCCACUAGAUAGUCCUGUGAUUUAUGUUGCGGACCUUAUCAAUAAUGCCACUAAUGAUUGGGAUCAAGCAAUUCUAUAUGCCUCCUCUCUGCAGGAAUGUGCAGCUAUCUUGAAAAUUCCCCUUAGUUCCAUCAACAGAGAACCAAAUCUGGUUUGGCAUUUCUCCCAUUCUGGAAUUCCCUCUGUUAAGUCUAUUUAUUUUAUUUUGAAGAAGGAUCUUUCAACAGCAGGCCCCUCUUCUUCUCGGGCAAUCUCUCCACAAAUAUGGAACUCUAUUUGGAAGUUGAAGGUUCCGCCCAAAAUCAAGUCUUUUAUCUGGAGAGCUAGCUCUAAUGCCUUGGCCACAAGGGAAAAUCUCUUUACAAGGGAGUGUGUAUUGUCUUCAAAGUGCCCUCUGUCUGAUUACAGGUUUGAAUCUAUUGAGCACUUUUUCUUCUUUUGUAACCAUAGCUGUGUGGUUUGGUUCGCGGCUUGGUUUCAUUCCUCGGCAGGAAGGUUUUGGGUCUUUCCUUCAACGGUGGCAAUCGUUAGUUUUCUUUUCUCAAGCUAAUGAGAGUAAUUUAAUUAUCUUGGCUAGCCUGUUGUGUUGGCAGAUUUGGAAAGCUCGGAAUGCAGCAAUUUUUUAUAAUAUUCCGCCGAAUCCCAUGAGAUCUAUUAUCAAGGUGCAGAAUGCUUUUGAAGAAUUGCUCUUUUCUUCAGUUCAGCAAAACCAUGCUUGGAAGCAUGUUUCAUCUGUGUGGCUUGCUCCUGUUUCUGGGUUGCUUAAAAUUAAUGUCGAUGCUUCUUUUGAUCCGGCUUCCUCUUUAGCUGGGUGUGGUAUUGUGGUUUGUGAUUCUGAAGGAACCUUGAUUGAUGGGAGUCCUUUUUCUUUUUAUUCUUGGUCUCCUCUUGCUGCCAAAGGUUUUGCACUUAGGGAGGCAUUGCGUUUUGCAUCCAGCAGAGGUUUUCUUGAUGCCUCUAUUGAAACUGAUUCUUUAAAGCUUUCUCAGUUUAUUAUGCUUCCUCUACUGCCCAUCCCUUGGGAAUUAGAGGCUAUUAUUCAUGAUAUUCGAUCUCUGUUAUCAUCUUAUCUAUCCAUUGCUAUCUGUUUGCUUUGUUCCUAGAAGUGCAAACUCUUGUGCAGAUUGGGUAAUUAGAACUGUUCGUUUGGGUUGUCUAUUCCCUGUUGGACUUCUGUUCAUCCUCUCCAGUUAGAUGAUUUUCUUGUUAAGGAUAAGAUGUAUUGCUUUUCCUCUUCAUGAAUAAUAGUGAUCCUUUCAGAGAAAAAAAAAUUAUAUCAUUUUGAAGGCGUAGCAGUUUGAUGUGGAUGGCUAGCAUUUAUUGCAUAUAUUAACGUGGGAUGCCAUUGCCUUGUUGGUAUUCCUUUGGGUUGCGUUCUUGGCUUCACUUUUGGCUUCCGUGUAAAGGGAAUUAAUAUGCA
rnacentral:misc_RNA from 1 species